GCGGACGGGUGAGUAACACGUGGGUAACCUGCCUGUAAGACUGGGAUAACUCCGGGAAACCGGGGCUAAUACCGGAUGCUUGAUUGAACCGCAUGGUUCAAUUAUAAAAGGUGGCUUUUAGCUACCACUUACAGAUGGACCCGCGGCGCAUUAGCUAGUUGGUGAGGUAACGGCUCACCAAGGCAACGAUGCGUAGCCGACCUGAGAGGGUGAUCGGCCACACUGGGACUGAGACACGGCCCAGACUCCUACGGGAGGCAGCAGUAGGGAAUCUUCCGCAAUGGACGAAAGUCUGACGGAGCAACGCCGCGUGAGUGAUGAAGGUUUUCGGAUCGUAAAACUCUGUUGUUAGGGAAGAACAAGUACCGUUCGAAUAGGGCGGUACCUUGACGGUACCUAACCAGAAAGCCACGGCUAACUACGUGCCAGCAGCCGCGGUAAUACGUAGGUGGCAAGCGUUGUCCGGAAUUAUUGGGCGUAAAGCGCGCGCAGGCGGUUUCUUAAGUCUGAUGUGAAAGCCCCCGGCUCAACCGGGGAGGGUCAUUGGAAACUGGGGAACUUGAGUGCAGAAGAGGAGAGUGGAAUUCCACGUGUAGCGGUGAAAUGCGUAGAGAUGUGGAGGAACACCAGUGGCGAAGGCGACUCUCUGGUCUGUAACUGACGCUGAGGCGCGAAAGCGUGGGGAGCGAACAGGAUUAGAUACCCUGGUAGUCCACGCCGUAAACGAUGAGUGCUAAGUGUUAGAGGGUUUCCGCCCUUUAGUGCUGCAGCAAACGCAUUAAGCACUCCGCCUGGGGAGUACGGUCGCAAGACUGAAACUCAAAGGAAUUGACGGGGGCCCGCACAAGCGGUGGAGCAUGUGGUUUAAUUCGAAGCAACGCGAAGAACCUUACCAGGUCUUGACAUCCUCUGACAACCCUAGAGAUAGGGCUUCCCCUUCGGGGGCAGAGUGACAGGUGGUGCAUGGUUGUCGUCAGCUCGUGUCGUGAGAUGUUGGGUUAAGUCCCGCAACGAGCGCAACCCUUGAUCUUAGUUGCCAGCAUUCAGUUGGGCACUCUAAGGUGACUGCCGGUGACAAACCGGAGGAAGGUGGGGAUGACGUCAAAUCAUCAUGCCCCUUAUGACCGGGGCUACACACGUGCUACAAGGGGCAAAACAAAGGGCACCAAAGCCGCCAGGCUAAGCCAAUCCCA
rnacentral:rRNA from 1 species